rnacentral:rRNA from 1 species
GAUGAACGCUGGCGGCGUGCCUAAUACAUGCAAGUCGAGCGAACAGACGAGGAGCUUGCUCCUCUGACGUUAGCGGCGGACGGGUGAGUAACACGUGGAUAACCUACCUAUAAGACUGGGAUAACUUCGGGAAACCGGAGUUAAUACCGGAUAAUAUAUUGAACCGCAUGGUUCAAUAGUGAAAGACGGUUUUGCUGUCACUUAUAGAUGGAUCCGCGCCGCAUUAGCUAGUUGGUAAGGUAACGGCUUACCAAGGCAACGAUGCGUAGCCGACCUGAGAGGGUGAUCGGCCUCACUGGAACUGAGACACGGUCCAGACUCCCACGGAAGGCAGCAGUAGGGAAUCUUCCGCAAUGGGCGAAAGCCUGACGGAGCAACGCCGCGUGAGUGAUGAAGGUCUUCGGAUCGUAAAACUCUGUUAUUAGGGAAGAACAAAUGUGUAAGUAACUAUGCACGUCUUGACGGUACCUAAUCAGAAAGCCACGGCUAACUACGUG